rnacentral:rRNA from 1 species
AGAGUUUGAUCCUGGCUCAGAACGAACGCUGGCGGCAUGCCUAACACAUGCAAGUCGAACGAGACCUUUGGGUCUAGUGGCGCACGGGUGCGUAACGCGUGGGAAUCUGCCCUUGGGUUCGGAAUAACAGUUAGAAAUGACUGCUAAUACCGGAUGAUGUCUUCGGACCAAAGAUUUAUCGCCCAGGGAUGAGCCCGCGUAGGAUUAGCUAGUUGGUGGGGUAAAGGCCUACCAAGGCGACGAUCCUUAGCUGGUCUGAGAGGAUGAUCAGCCACACUGGGACUGAGACACGGCCCAGACUCCUACGGGAGGCAGCAGUGGGGAAUAUUGGACAAUGGGCGAAAGCCUGAUCCAGCAAUGCCGCGUGAGUGAUGAAGGCCUUAGGGUUGUAAAGCUCUUUUACCCGGGAUGAUAAUGACAGUACCGGGAGAAUAAGCCCCGGCUAACUCCGUGCCAGCAGCCGCGGUAAUACGGAGGGGGCUAGCGUUGUUCGGAAUUACUGGGCGUAAAGCGUACGUAGGCGGCUUUGUAAGUUAGAGGUGAAAGCCCGGGGCUCAACUCCGGAACUGCCUUUAAGACUGCAUCGCUAGAACGUCGGAGAGGUGAGUGGAAUUCCGAGUGUAGAGGUGAAAUUCGUAGAUAUUCGGAAGAACACCAGUGGCGAAGGCGACUCACUGGACGACUGUUGACGCUGAGGUACGAAAGCGUGGGGAGCAAACAGAAUUAGAUACCCCAGUAGUCC